rnacentral:lncRNA from 1 species
GGCUCUGACUGACUCCUUCCCAGAUCUUUUCGGCUUAGCGGCUGAAGACUGACGCUGCCCGAUCACCUCGGAAGCCUCCUGGACUAUCACAGACGCUUUGGGUAACUCUUACAGUGGAGGACAAGAAUGUCAGGCCUCUGAGCCCAGAGUAAGCCAUCGUAUCCCCAGUGACCUGCACGUGUACAUCCAGAUGGCCUGAAACAACUGAAGAUCCACAGAAGUGAAAACAGCCUUAACUGAUGACACUCUACCAUUGUGAUUUGUUUCUGUCCUACCCUAACAAAUCAAUGUACUUUAUAAUCUCCCCCACCCUUAAGAAGUUUCUUUGUAAUUCUCUCC